AUUUUUUUUUUUUGUUUUCGGUUCUCGGUCCCUUCCGAUCGAUUUUCGUAUUAGGGUUUCCCAAUUUUUUCCCCUUUGUUUGACUUUUAAUUCGGAGUAAUGUGAGCGCUUGUUUUUAUAAUUUAGGGUUUACAGUUCGAUUGCUCGUCGAUUGGUUUGAAUUCGGAGUAAUAACACUCGACAGUUUGUGGGCGUCUUUUAAGUGGCCGCAUUUGGAGUACAUGUUGAGAGUUUCCGAUAUAUAUAUCGUUUUCGAUCCCCAACUUGAGCACACGGGCGUGUUGACAAGAGCCCGAUUUUGGGCUUCCGAUGGCCGUGCAUCGGCGGAUUGAUGGAAGAGCGUCGGAGAAUGGAUCUUCGCGACACCGAGGAGAAUAUUGCGGCGAUGAAUCGCCGGCGAUUUUGGAUUGUGAUUUCGGAAUCGGAAUCGGAAGUUUUGCAGAAGAAGGUGAUGCAAUGGAAUGAAAUUGGAAAGAUUGCAUUCUGUUUUUUCUUUAUAUUGGGAAUUGAGGUUUAGUGUUAGAUAAGAUAAUGGUUUCAUUACACACGUGCAUACUGUUCGAACUUAUGGGCUUUAGUCUACAUACAAGUUUUUUGACAA